rnacentral:rRNA from 1 species
GGAUCGACGGGUCGGUCGCGCCUCUGGUGUGUACUGGCCCUGUCGGUUUCUCCCUUCUGACGAACCACGAUGUCAUUAAUUUGGUGUCGUGGGAAAUCAGGACUGUUACUUUGAAAAAAUUAGAGUGUUUAAAGCAGGCAUUCGCUUGAAUACAUUAGCAUGGAAUAAUGAAAUAGGACGUUUGAUCUUAUUUUGUUGGUUUCUAAGAUCGACGUAAU